rnacentral:rRNA from 1 species
AUUGAACGCUGGCGGCAUGCUUUACACAUGCAAGUCGAACGGCAGCACGGGGGCAACCCUGGUGGCGAGUGGCGAACGGGUGAGUAAUGCAUCGGAACGUACCCAGUCGUGGGGGAUAACGCAGCGAAAGUUGUGCUAAUACCGCAUACGACCUGAGGGUGAAAGCGGGGGACCGUAAGGCCUCGCGCGAUUGGAGCGGCCGAUGUCUGAUUAGCUAGUUGGUGGGGUAAAGGCCCACCAAGGCGACGAUCAGUAACGGGUCUGAGAGGAUGAUCCGCCACACUGGGACUGAGACACGGCCCAGACUCCUACGGGAGGCAGCAGUGGGGAAUUUUGGACAAUGGGGGCAACCCUGAUCCAGCCAUGCCGCGUGCGGGAAGAAGGCCUCGGUGUAACGCUUCGUACGGAAGAAUACGCAUGGACGUAAUAACUCUGUGUGGA